rnacentral:rRNA from 1 species
UGAGGAAUAUUGGUCAAUGGGCGAGAGCCUGAACCAGCCAAGUCGCGUGAGGGAAGACGGUCCUACGGAUUGUAAAACCUCUUUUGUCGGGGAGCAAUAAAGCGUACGCGUACGCAGAUGCGAGUACCCGAAGAAAAAGCAUCGGCUAACUCCGUGCC